CUACCUUCCUGCACGGCAGCUGGCAAUCCUGCAAUCACCUGCUGCUCAGCUGUUGCUGAUUCCCCUGAUCACGGCUGCAGUAUUUAGACUCGGUUGGAACCUGUCUUUGGCGCCAUAUCGUUACAGCUACCAAAGUGACCUACACCACCCGACCUGUUGCCUUUGGACCGCUGUUCCGCCAGCCGUUCGUUUCUCAGACCUAUCUCCCUGCUUGGAUUCCUGUGAGAGUUGUUUUGGACACGCUACACUCUGCCCACGCCCGCUGCAGUCCUGUGCACCUGUGCAGCUAACUGUCCCUGGCUGCUUUGUUUGUCCUGUGACGAUCAUUAAAAGACUUUCGAAACGUU